rnacentral:rRNA from 1 species
AUGAACGCUGGCUACAGGCUUAACACAUGCAAGUCGAGGGGAAACGGCAUUGAGUGCUUGCACUGAAUGGCCGUCGACCGGCGCACGGGUGAGUAACGCGUAUCCAACCUUCCCGUUACUGCGGGAUAACCUGCCGAAAGGCAGACUAAUACCGCAUGUUCUUCGAUGACGGCAUCAGAUUCGAAGCAAAGAUCCGUCGGUAACGGAGGGGGAUGCGUCUGAUUAGCUAGUUGGCGGGGCGACGGCCCACCAAGGCGACGAUCAGUAGGGGUUCUGAGAGGAAGGUCCCCCACAUUGGAACUGAGACACGGUCCAAACUCCUACGGGAGGCAGCAGUGAGGAAGAUUGGUCAAUGGGCGGAAGCCUGAACCAGCCAAGUAGCGUGCAGGAUGACGGCCCUACGGGUUGUAAACUGCUUUUAUGCGGGGAUAAAGUGAGGGACGCGUCCCUUUUUGCAGGUACCGCAUGAAUAAGGACCGGCUAAUUCCGUG